UACGUAGGGUGCGAGCGUUGUCCGGAAUUAUUGGGCGUAAAGAGCUCGUAGGCGGUUUGUCGCGUCGGCCGUGAAAACUUGGGGCUUAACCCCGAGCCUGCGGUCGAUACGGGCAGACUUGAGUUCGGCAGGGGAGACUGGAAUUCCUGGUGUAGCGGUGAAAUGCGCAGAUAUCAGGAGGAACACCGAUGGCGAAGGCAGCUCGCUGGGACGGUACUGACGCUGAGACGCGAAAGCGUGGGGAGCAAACAGG
rnacentral:rRNA from 1 species